CUCACUCUCUUUUCCCUUCCAGUCACAGUCACCGCAGCAGACAUCAUGGCCGUGGAUGUGGCAGAAUACCAUCUGAGCGGGUCCCCGGGGAGACCCUCGUUCUGCUGCACCCUGGGGAUGAGCCUGUGACUCGGAAUCCACUCACCGAGGCCUUUUGUGGAGACUGUCAAGUAGGCAGGGGAAAAUAAACCCAGGAAGUCAAUUCAUCAAGAGCCCCCCUGGCUGGGAGGUGGGUGUCUAUGCUGCAGGGGCCCUGGCCCUGCUGGGAAUCGCGGCUGUGAGCCUGUGGAAGCUCUGGACGUCGGGGAGCUUCCCCAGCCCCUCUCCGUUCCCCAAUUACGACUACAGGUACCUUCAGCAGAAGUACGGCGAGAGCUGCGCAGAGGCCAGAGAGAAGAGAGUGCCUGCGUGGAAUACCCAGCGGGCCAGCACGCGGGGACCACCCAGCCGCAAAGGCAGUCUCAGCAUUGAGGACACCUUUGAGAGCAUCAGUGAACUGGGGCCUCUGGAGCUGAUGG
rnacentral:sRNA from 1 species